rnacentral:rRNA from 1 species
UACGUAGGGUGCGAGCGUUAAUCGGAAUUACUGGGCGUAAAGCGUGCGUAGGCGGUUCUCCAAGUCCGUUGUGAAAGCCCCGGGCUCAACCUGGGAAUGGCAGUGGAAACUAGGGGACUGGAAUCUGGCAGAGGGGGGUGGAAUGCCACGUGUAGCAGUGAAAUGCGUAGAGAUGUGGAGGAACACCGAUGGCGAAGGCAGCCCCCUGGGUCAAAACUGACGCUCAUGCACGAAAGCGUGGGGAGCAAACAGG